AGGUAUAUAGCCCAGUGGUAGAGCAUGUGCUUAGCACGCAUGAGGUGGUCCUGGGUUCAAUCCCCAGUACCUCCA
rnacentral:tRNA from 1 species